rnacentral:rRNA from 1 species
AGAGCACUGUUUCGGCUAGGGGGUCAUCCCGACUUACCAACCCGAUGCAAACUACGAAUACCGAAGAAUGUUAUCACGGGAGACACACGGCGGGGGCUAACGUCCGUCGUGAAGAGGGAAACAACCCAGACCGCCAGCUAAGGUCCCAAAGUCAUGGUUAAGUGGGAAACGAUGUGGGAAGGCACAGACAGCCAGGAUGUUGGCUUAGAAGCAGCCAUCAUUUAAAGAAAGCGUAAUAGCUCACUGGUCGAGUCGGCCUGCGCGGAAGAUGUAACGGGGCUAAACCAUGCACCGAAGCUGCGGCAGCGACACUAUGUGUUGUUGGGUAGGGGAGCGUUCUGUAAGCCUGCGAAGGUGUGCUGUGAGGCAUGCUGGAGGUAUCAGAAGUGCGAAUGCUGACAUAAGUAACGAUAAAGCG